ensembl:lncRNA
ACCCGGGGGCUAGGAUUCAGACAGCAUGUGCUCUCCUGUGCAGAGCAGUUUGUCUGUAAAUAAAGGUCAGGGUGACUGGAGCAGAGACAGCAGAGGGCAUGGAGGCUGGAGGGAGAGACAGUUGGUUUCAGAUCCUGGGGCCCGCUCAGCUGGGCGCAGAGCUCAGACUCGACCCGGGGGACCGAGGAAAGCUCUGGGCGCUCGAGUGGAGCCACCAGCACCAGCUCUGCAGGUUUGAGAGACCCUCUGGCUGCAGAGAAGGGCAUGGCAACCCACUCCAAUAUUCUUGGCUGGAGAAUCCCAUGGACAGAGGAGCCCGGUGGGCUACAGUCCAGGGGGUUGCAGAAUCGGAUACAACUGAGCGACUAAACCAGCACGUGCGGAGGGACACAGACCUGCAGAAACGCGGCGGGAGAGCCAGGGAGGGACGAGCGUCUGGGGAGAAGCCGCAGAGGCCCUCGUAUUUCUCAACAUGAAGAUGUCAGAAGCCAAGUUCCCAGCAAGUGGAGGGCCAACGGGUGUCUUUUGCUUGUUUGUUUUUGAAAAGGGAGUCUUCAUAGUCCCACAGUCCAGGACAGACAGUGUGGCUUGGUUUCCAGACCACCGAGAUGUGGCAGAUAUCGCAAUAAAGCAAGGUACACGGAGAUCUUGGUUUCCCAGCGCCCGUGACAGCUGUGUUCACACGAUCCUGGGCCCUGUUAAAUGUGCAGUAGCAUUCGUUUCUACAGAAAUGGUGUGCACACCAAAAUUAUAGAAGUUUUAUUGUUCUAAGCAUCCAGCAAUGCACGGCUGUGACUACCCUUCAGUGUAAACGACACAGCGCCUGAGGUCAGCCCAGGCUGCCUGGUCACUGACGAGCCCGCCCUGCAGCUUCUCUGUCCACCCGGGACAGUGAGGACAAGAGCAGCACAAAUUCAGGGCUUGCCCGGUGGUCCAGCGGUUAAAACUCUACGCUGCCAGUGCAGAGGGCGCGGGUUUGAUCGCUGGCUGGGGAACUAAGAUCCUGCACGCCUCUCUGUGUGGUCAAAGAAUAGAAAAAGAAGCAUAGUGUGGACUCCACUGGACACGGAGCCGCAGCCACUCUCAGCGAGUGUUGGCCAGAUGCCAAGUAGAUCUCCACCAUGUAAUAGGUGAGUAAGUCAAGACAGGGAGCACUGAAGUGAAGCAGCCUGAGUCACCAGUGGCCGGGGGGUGUCUGUGUCACAGCCCUCGGCCUGGGCUGUCCCCUCCCGUCCUCCUCAAGCCCUCCUGCCGGAUUCCCCAGAGCUGGGUCUUGCCCUCCUGAUGUGCCAGCCUGCACCCAGGACUCCCACCCGAUGGGGUCCUGGUUGCCGGCCGGCAGGAAGCGUCCAGCCCCAGACCCCAUCGUGUCCCCUGCUCUCGGACCACAGCCGCCCGGUUUCCCCGGGAGUGUAGGGAGCUGAUUGGAAUUGACACUUCUGGACGGAAGGGAAAGGACUGGGCCCGGGGGUGCCAGGCGCCAGAGGACUGCUCUGCAGGAGGACUGAGCCCAGGUCAGCCCACGUGGGGCCGAGAAGCCGGGGGUUUGCACCCCCGCCGCGCUUGUUCCCCGGAUCUGGAUCCGGGCUCCCUGGGAAGGGUGUGAGCCUGGCUCUCUGCCAUCGGGGCAGACCACGGACCUGACACCCGGGAGCAGCCUGGUGACCUCGCUCCCCGCAUCCGCACAGCUGGUUCCUCUGAAAGAGGCCAAGCAGUUUAACAGGCCUUGGUUCAACAAACAGUGCCCGAGAAGUACCGUUGCAGGCGCUGCCGGUACACAGAGCCGAGACAAAGCCUGUCUCUCAGGAAAGGCGAGCCUGUGACGUAACAGAUGCAAGCUCAGAGCCGCACUCUCCCACGGUCGACGGUCACGGAUCCACUUGACGGUGUGAAGAACUUCUUUCUGCCAUGAGACAUCAGAACCUGAGAGUCAGUGUGUCCAGACGCAGAUGCUGAACCCCCGCCAGGCGGCAGAAGUUCAGUGUCUGCUGCCCACAGGCACGUAGACCCGAGACUCGCUGAAGCCGGAAGGUUGGUGACGCUGACUGUCACUCACCACACCACCAGCCCGUCAGCACGGCGUCCCCGAGCUGCUCACACAGGCCUUGAGCCACGACUACUCCCUCCAGGUCUGGACACACGGCUUUGAGGGCAUUAGCCCUCUGGGGCCCCUCAGCCUUGGCAAAGCAAGUAAAGAUAUUCUUUUCUACUUCACCCCCCUUCACACACACACACACACACACACACACAAAUAGACAAUGUGAUGGAAAAUAUGAGAGAAAAAUAGGAAAAUCAGAGUUAGUCCUGGAGAGUUAAACUUCUGAAAAACAGGGGUUCUUGGAAGACAGAAGAGAGGAAACAGCAGUAAGGAAAUCCUCUUGGAAAGAGCUCAGAAAACCCCCAAAUGGAGCUGAAGCAGCCUUCAGUUUCCAAGGGCAAAUGGCAAGGCAAGUGCCCAGGAGAGAGUUUGCAAACAGAAGUCAUGCCACAGCUAACCAGGACGCCAGGGUGUGGAGCCCUUGCCAGCUCCUCUGACAUACAGAGAGGGGGUCACGGCCAAAUGACCAGCAACCAAAAGGGGUCCAUACCCUACUGGGGGCGGGGGUGGAUACAUCUCCUAGUAACUUUCUUAAAAAAAAAAAAAGCAAAAU